rnacentral:rRNA from 1 species
GACGAACGCUGGCGGCGUGCUUAACACAUGCAAGUCGAACGCUGAAGCUCAGCUUUUGUUGGGUGGAUGAGUGGCGAACGGGUGAGUAACACGUGAGUAACCUGCCCCCUUCUUUGGGAUAACGCCCGGAAACGGGUGCUAAUACUGGAUAUUCACUGGUCUUCGCAUGGGGGUUGGCGGAAAGGGUUUUUCUGGUGGGGGAUGGGCUCGCGGCCUAUCAGCUUGUUGGUGGGGUGAUGGCCUACCAAGGCUUUGACGGGUAGCCGGCCUGAGAGGGUGACCGGUCACAUUGGGACUGAGAUACGGCCCAGACUCCUACGGGAGGCAGCAGUGGGGAAUAUUGCACAAUGGGCGCAAGCCUGAUGCAGCGACGCCGCGUGAGGGAUGGAGGCCUUCGGGUUGUGAACCUCUUUCGCUCAUGGUCAAGCCGCAACAAUGGUUGUGGUGAGGGUAGUGGGUAAAGAAGCGCCGGCUAACUACGUG